GUGUCAGCCGCCGCGGUAAUACGGAGGGUGCAAGCGUUGUCCGGAUUUAUUGGGUUUAAAGGGAGCGUAGGCGGCCUAUUAAGUCAGUGGUGAAAUCCAGCAGCUUAACUGUUGAACUGCCAUUGAUACUGAUUGGCUUGAGUACUGAUGAGGUAGGCGGAAUUGAUAGUGUAGCGGUGAAAUGCAUAGAUAUUAUCAAGAACACCGAUUGCGAAGGCAGCUUACUAAGGAGUAACUGACGCUGAGGCUCGAAAACGUGGGGAUCGAACAGGAUUAGAUACCCCAGUAGUCC
rnacentral:rRNA from 1 species